rnacentral:tRNA from 1 species
GGGGCUCGUGGCCGGAGGGUGGUAGCGCAUCACACUGGCAGUGUGAGGGUCAGGGGUUCGAGUCCCCUCAGCUCCA